AGCAGCCGCGGUAAUUCCAGCUCCAAUAGCGUAUAUUAAAGUUGUUGCAGUUAAAAAGCUCGUAGUUGAAUUUCGGGGUUAGUAGGCUGGUCGUGCCACUGGUAUGUACUGGUCUUACUGACUUCUCCUUUCUGAAGAACUGUAAUGCCAUUAAUUUGGUGUUGCAGGGAAUCAGGACUGUUACUUUGAAAAAAUUAGAGUGUUUAAAGCAGGCUAACGCUUGAAUACAUUAGCAUGGAAUAAUGAAAUAGGACGUUCGAUCCUAUUUUGUUGGUUUCUAGGAUUGACGUAAUGAUUAAUAGGGAUAGUUGGGGGCAUUAGUAUUCAAUUGUCAGAGGUGAAAUUCUUGGAUUUAUUGAAGACUAACUACUGCGAAAGCAUUUGCCAGGGAUGUUUUCAUUAAUCAAGAACGAAAGUUAGGGGAUCGAAGACGAUCAGAUACCGUCGUAGUCUUAACCAUAAACUAUGCCGACUAGGGAUCGGAUGAUGUUAAUUUUUUAAUGACUCAUUCGGCGCCUUACG
rnacentral:rRNA from 1 species